rnacentral:rRNA from 1 species
UACGGAGGUGGCAAGCGUUGCUCGGAUUCAUUGGGUGUAAAGGGUGUGUAGGCGGCAAAGUCAAGUCGGGUGUGAAAUCCCGGAGCUUAACUCCGGAACUGCAUUCGAAACUGCUUUGCUAGAGUUCGGUAGAGGAGAGGGGAAUUCCCGGUGUAAGGGUGAAAUCUGUAGAUAUCGGGAGGAACACCAGUGGCGCAAGCGCCUCUCUGGGCCGAUACUGACGCUGUGACACGAAAGCUAGGGGAGCAAACAGG